UCGUACAACAGAGGCGUUCGUGGCUGUCGCUGACCCACUAGGUCGUGCACGCCUCGAGCGUUCUCAUUUACACAUCUACCUCACCCUUUGUGCAUCGCCGCGUGGGCCCCCUUUGAUUCAAAGGAGGUCUGCGUUUUUACACAAACUUUGUAACUGUGAAUGUCUUAUUUGCGGUCACACGCAAUCAAUA
rnacentral:misc_RNA from 1 species